GUACACAUUUGGUCUAACGGCCAAACAGAUCCAAAUAGUGACACUAUGGACCGUAUAGAGCAACGAGAGAUGGGGUGAUUUGGGAGCAUUCACAAGUUUUUUUGUUAAUUAGAAACAUCAGUUAAAGAUCCGGUUUUCUGUGUGUCUAUAACAUUAGAAAGUUUUGAGGUGCUAGUAGAACUCUUGGAUACGGUUGACUUCGUGGACAAGAAGAAGAGUUAGACUUCAAAAGAGCUUGGCUGUUGUCCAUAGUUCUAGUCUUGAUCGUUGUGAUAACAUUUAUUCUAUUGGCUUGUUAUCUACUAAUAAGAAAGAGACAAUCAAAGAGUGAAAAGAAUGUUUACAAUGUGGUGAUGGAAACUCAUGAAGACCAUACUUACAAUACAUUAACGGAGACUCAAGGAGAGCUCAAUACUUACAAUAAUUUACCAGAGAAUCCAAUGGAGGAUCAUAUUUAUAACAAUUAUACGAAUGACGAAGAGCAAGUCUAUACAGAAGUGACAGAUCUCGAGACUCAUGUUUACAUCAAUUGAAGACAAGUGCUAGCACUGACACAAAGUUGAACAAAAAAAAAUUAUUCUAAGUGAUAAAUCAAAACAUUGAUGUUGAAUUACCCGAAACAAUUAUUUGAUUCAAUGUUUGCUUUAAAAGUUAUAUUUAUUUACUUGUCAUCCGAUUGAUCUUUGUUGCAUCGUUGUAAACAUUUUAAAAUAAAGUUCGUUUAUAAAAUAUGA
rnacentral:sRNA from 1 species